AGAGUUUGAUCCUGGCUCAGGAUGAACGCUAGCGACAGGCUUAACACAUGCAAGUCGAGGGGCAGCACAGGUAGCAAUACCGGGUGGCGACCGGCGCACGGGUGAGUAACGCGUAUGCAACUUACCUAUCAGAGGGGGAUAACCCGGCGAAAGUCGGACUAAUACCGCAUGAAGCAGGGGCCCCGCAUGGGGAUAUUUGCUAAAGAUUCAUCGCUGAUAGAUAGGCAUGCGUUCCAUUAGGCAGUUGGCGGGGUAACGGCCCACCAAACCGACGAUGGAUAGGGGUUCUGAGAGGAAGGUCCCCCACAUUGGUACUGAGACACGGACCAAACUCCUACGGGAGGCAGCAGUGAGGAAUAUUGGUCAAUGGGCGUAAGCCUGAACCAGCCAAGUCGCGUGAGGGAUGAAGGUUCUAUGGAUCGUAAACCUCUUUUAUAAGGGAAUAAAGUGCGGGACGUGUCCCGUUUUGUAUGUACCUUAUGAAUAAGGAUCGGCUAACUCCGUGCCAGCAGCCGCGGUAAUACGGAGGAUCCGAGCGUUAUCCGGAUUUAUUGGGUUUAAAGGGUGCGUAGGCGGCCUUUUAAGUCAGCGGUGAAAGUCUGUGGCUCAACCAUAGAAUUGCCGUUGAAACUGGGAGGCUUGAGUAUGUUUGAGGCAGGCGGAAUGCGUGGUGUAGCGGUGAAAUGCUUAGAUAUCACGCAGAACCCCGAUUGCGAAGGCAGCCUGCCAAGCCAUGACUGACGCUGAUGCACGAAAGCGUGGGGAUCAAACAGGAUUAGAUACCCUGGUAGUCCACGCAGUAAACGAUGAUCACUAGCUGUUUGCGAUACACUGUAAGCGGCACAGCGAAAGCGUUAAGUGAUCCACCUGGGGAGUACGCCGGCAACGGUGAAACUCAAAGGAAUUGACGGGGGCCCGCACAAGCGGAGGAACAUGUGGUUUAAUUCGAUGAUACGCGAGGAACCUUACCCGGGUUUGAACGCAUU
rnacentral:rRNA from 1 species